rnacentral:rRNA from 1 species
UACGGAGGGAGCUAGCGUUGUUCGGAAUUACUGGGCGUAAAGCGCGCGUAGGCGGCUUUGUAAGUUAGAGGUGAAAGCCCGGGGCUCAACUCCGGAACUGCCUUUAAGACUGCAUCGCUUGAAUCCGGGAGAGGUGAGUGGAAUUCCGAGUGUAGAGGUGAAAUUCGUAGAUAUUCGGAAGAACACCAGUGGCGAAGGCGGCUCACUGGACCGGUAUUGACGCUGAGGUGACGAAAGGCGUGGGGAGCAAACAGG